UAAAAUGGUCAAAAAGAAACAGGUCAACCUAGACGCAGUAAGGGUAAAAGCAGAACAAUUCAGGCUGGCGCUCGCAAACAAAUUGCAGCCUUAGAACAGGAAGGUAAAGACAACAUACAGGUAAUGAAUGAAAGCUUAACUAGGCUGAUCUCAGAAGCAGCAAUUGAAGUGGGACGUAAGG
rnacentral:lncRNA from 1 species